UAAUUGUAAGGACCAAAAUGCAAAUAAAAAGAUGAAACUUCAAAUUUACAGUUUUGAAAAGUGAAACUCUAUAUUUGGAGUUUCACUCUUCAAAACUUCAAAUUUGAAGUUUUGAAGUUUCUUUUUAGAGAGCAAAAAAACUCUAUAUUUAGAGUUAUAGAGUUUCUUUUGGAGAUGCUCUUAGUCAUAAACGAUAAAAAUAUUGAACUUGCAAAGAUUUGGUGCGUGAGCAGUGAGCUCAUAUCACAAUACUAAAAGUAGAAUAAUCUCAACACCUAAGGUGUCCACAUCAGAUUAAAUAAUCCACCAAUCAAAAUACAUUUUAGUGCCACAUCAUUUUAGAAUUUACUUUUCUAUUUUUUUUCUAUAAAUUUUAGCUUUUCACGUUUCAUCUUCUUUUUCAGUCUCUCAAACGCUUCCUUCUCCCAUAAGCCAUAACACGUAUCCUCCUCCCCCUCACCAAACUCGAGCCCUACUACCGUUUAUAUGUUUGGCUCAUAUCCCAACCCUGAUUUUCUCUCUCACUACCGCGAUAGUAGAGAUGACACCAAACUCUCGAUUCCUUCUCCUCCAUGACUCUAACUUCCGAAGAUGCCAAUCGAAAUUCUGAUCAUAUUUUGGAUACCAACCUGGACGGUAAUAUUAAACGCCUAUAUAUCCACAUUCCCCGAGUUCACUGGCGACGCCUCCUCCAUCACUGAUUCGGCUCCCCUACAACCAAGACACAUUUGCUUCUCCGCCAGCACGACCGCGGCUUCCAGAUCCUUAACCGUGUUCCAUUUAACUAGAUUUUUCCAUCGUGAUUUGGAUCGUGGGGGUGAGGUCACCGUCAUGGAAAUUCUUUUCAUAUGCAAUAUACUGGCCUUUUUAGGCGGUAGAUCAUGCAUGAUUCGGGACGAUCACCAAAGCCUAUGUUUCGGCGAAUUCUCCUUCAGGUCCGACGUUCAUGGACCGCAAGUUGAUGCAUCGGAUUGAGCCCAUCGCAAGGUGUGAUCUUUGUGGAAUAGUUAGAUUGCAACUCUGGUUGUUAGAAUUUUUUUUGUGGAUUCCUUUCGUUUUUGCACCUCAAAUCCCAAAUUUUUGGGUGGUACUCAUGAGGAAAUGUGUUAAUCCCAAAGUAAGAUCGUUGUCAAGCUUCAAGUGAGGAAGUGAGGGUAGCUCUUGGUGAAAAAAAUGGCAAAGAGGGGAUUGGCAAUGAAAUUGACUUGAUGAUAUCUGGCGAUGGAGCAGUUUCAGUAGUAACGAAUCUUUCUGACCUGAAGCUGUUUGGGGUUGUCUUUGCCUUACCAUCUUCAUCCGAGCCUGCAACAUCAGAGAAGUUUAGCACGUACAUCUCAUUUCUACUCUUAACAUUCGGGAACUUAGAAAAUCGGGUUCCAUGACGCUGCUAUUGCACCUUUGACGCUGCUAUUGCACCUUACAUGGAUGUAAAUGUGUGUGUUUGUCUGUUUGACGGCUUAUCUUGCGCAUUUCAUAACUAAUUUGAAAGCUACGGCUCUGAGCCAGCUGUUUUGUUCACUAGCAUCAACCCCAAAGUAGUUGGAGGUAAGGAAAAUACUUUUUCCUUAUGUGUCCCACGUUUAGACAAGACUUAUUGCGCACAAAAAGGAGAAAAACAGUUGCCAUAAUGAAGAAGCAGAACCACCAUGCAAGUUAAGCUCUUCCAUUUACUAUGGAGGCCAAGAAAAAAGUUCUUCUACGAUGACUACCACCAAAGAUACUGUAAGUCGUAGUCUCACCUAUCAUACACAUAACACCUACGUGAGAAACUUACCAAAACUUAUAUUAUUUUCUUUACAUGUAUGUGUAGUCCCUAUAUGUAUUAGUAGUUUCAAGAUUAUGCGCUUCUUCUUUAUCUUUAACUUAUGCGGGACAAGAGAGAUGGAGAGGAAGGCGAUUCCAAAAGCGCGUCACGAGAAAACUGGUGAGAAGGGUUGUUUUAUUACUAACAUGCACUGCAUGUCAUGCAAUCCUGAAUUUGAGCAACUAUUAAGGGAAUUAUGAGACAUCAUGGUAUAAUCUUAAUAUGAAAUUUGAAGGAUCACUAUGAGAUAAAAAAAAAGAGUAUAUAUAAAGAGCGUAGCAUAUUUUAUAAAAGAAGAGCAACUCAACUCUUGAGUCUUGACAUGUUGAUUUGGUUUGUUUACGAAGAACGUAACACUAGAGACAAGCCUAUUUCUGAUGAUAUUGUUUGUCUAAUAUUUGCCUAUGUGAAACAAUGCUUUACGAAUAAUCGAAUUAGUACUUUAUAAUUAAAUCAUGAUGAAGAAAAGCUCAAAAAAGCAAAAUAUAGAAAAUCUUAAAAAGAACAAAAUAUAGAAAAGCUCAAAAAAAAUUACACUUUUAAAAAUAAAAAUAUACAUUUUCAAAUAAAUUAUAUUCUUUCACUGAAAAUAAAAAAUUGAAAAAUCACACAUUAAUUUCAGUGAUUUAAUUUUAGUAUCUACUAAAUCAUUUUUUUUAUUUUCACAACAAAAAAGUGACGACAAGUAAAAAUACAAUAUAUAUAUAUUUACAUCUUAUUUCGUUUAGAGAAUGAAACACCAUAAAUUAACAAAGUUCAAAGUUUACUUUAUCGAACCAAUAAAAAUAUUUAAUUUUAUUGAAAAAAGUAAUUGUAAACAAUAAAAAAUAUCAAAAUAAGAAAAAAUUAAUUGAAAAUUACAUUUAAAGCAUUAAUAAAACUUAUAAGAACAAUAAAUCAGCAACAUAUAGUUAUUUAGUCAUAUAAUAUCUAUUUUCAAUAUUAUUAGCAUUUGCACUCUAAUAAUUUUAAAUUCAUUUUAUAAAUUAUAUUUUGUAAAAAUUGAUAGAUAUGCAUUAUAUAUAUUCAUAUAGUAGUAUAAUAGAUUAAAUUAAAAAAAAAUUAUAGAAAAAACCCGGGCGUAGCCCGGGAAAACUACUAGUUUCAUUUAAUAGUAGAACUUAAAUGUCGAUGAUAAUAAUUAUAUUCAUAAUUUAACAUCCAAAUCAGAUCUUUUUUAUUCAGAGUAAUUGAUAUUAGUGAAAAUUAAGCCUCCAGGAUUUGUAUUUGUGGGGAUUACAAUCUUUUCAUCGGAGAAUGCUAUGGGCGCUUUUCUGUUUUCCUUUUUAGAGCUUAAGGAUCCUUGUGAUCCUUGUAAAAUUACCUUACAGUUUCAACAAUAAAUCAUAGAUGAGAAAAAUCUAACAAUUUGGGCCUGGUGUAAAUGUAAACCAACAACUUGUUAAAAAAGAAUCACAACUACACAGGUGUUGUUAGCUGAACCAAUAUGGGGAUAGACAUCCUCUAGUGCACCACAUACAUAUCAAACUGAAAAACUGAUAAAGCAUAUGUGAAAUUGUGAUCCAUCCUGAUUUUUGUGUAUCAAUACUAUUAAAUUAGGAACAUGUCCUAUUGAUAAUAGUUGAGUCCAACUUAAAAUAGAACUGCAUUUAAAAUCAAUAUUACAUGUUUAAAUAUUAAAACUACCUUAAUCUACAUAUUACAAAAAUGGUUAUUAAACUAACUUCCCUUUUAAUUCCUAUAUUCUCGGGACCAUCACUCUUAUCAAUACUAACUAAUUAAACUCCAUGGUUACAUUCCAGGUUUUGUAUAUUUGUUGAACAUACCAAAGUAUCACUCGGUUGAAUCUGUAAUCAUUUCCAGGUUCUGUAACUAAUUAAAAAAAAAGUUAAUUGUCUCAAAAUCACUCUCCAAUUAACCUAUAUAGAAUAUUCAAAUUUUUAAAAGUCACGUCUACCGUAUUCAAAAACAAGAUUUAGAAUUCACGGUUACAUAAUAUAUUUGAGCGGGUGGAAGAAUAUGACCAUAAAAUUGAAAUAUAUAUAUAUAUAUAUAUAUAUUUAAUAUAUGUGUGUGUGUUCAGAAUUCAGAUGCUCACUCGAUUCGGUGUAAUGUUGAGGCCUGAAAAACUGAACAACAAAACCAUAAUUGUAAUAUUUAUAACACUUUUGAAAAAUACGAUAUUUUUCAAAUGAAAUACUUCUACAUAAAAAAAAGUUUAUUGCCAAAGUAUACUAUUUUGUACUUGAUAAAUUCCUCUAUAUAUUACUAUUUCAAGUGUUCAAUAAUAUCUUAAAAUUAUCAAAAAAUAACUUUUAAAUCUAAAAUAAAAAAUAUAAUCUUAUAAUAGGUUAUUAAUAUUUCAUAUCAAUUAAUUUAUUUUUAUAUAUUACCAUUUUUUCUUUUUUGAAUGACAUCAUAACAAUUUUAUCAAAAUCUACGGAAUCACAAAUUUAUUCAAUUUUAUGUAAUUUACCGAAUACCAUAUUAACCUAUAUAUAUAUAUAUAUAUAUAUUUAACAUAAUAUAUUAAAAAAAAAUUUAUCAAAUAUUUUUCAAAAACUUGUGUUCGGUUUUCAGUGCGGGUUGGGUUUUAUAUUUGUUUUCUGAUAUAACACUUUAAGAAUUACUCGAGUAUAUGGGUCAGAUCUAAAGAGUAUGAGACUUUGAUUUUUGGGUUGAUUCCGAAUCGGAUUUUUUUAGUACGAAUAUUUUUGACGAAUUAUGUUAGGUAACUACUAAGAAAAUAUAAUAUGUUACAAACUUUAAGAAUAAAGUUUAAAAAUAAUUUCUGAAAUGCAUAUGGCACAAGUGUACUGUUAUGCAAUUAUUGACAUCUAAACUAUUAAAACAGAAGUACAUUUUGUAUUUAACCCUCACUUUUCCACAAUAAUUACCAUCACAUGCCAUUAGAUUAAAGUUUAAAAUAAAUUUUAAAAAUUAAAAUUCUCAUUAAGGAUGUUUUUGUCUUUCAUCUUACUCUAAUCUAACCAGCAAGACGACGUUAAGAUCAUAAAGAUCUAAGAUCAACAACACUUACGGCUUCUACGACGAAUGCAGAUGGAGAUUUACGUCACUGAAAAAUAUUCACCUACCCGAAGUUAUGUAUGUUGUAACAUUUUCUUCUUUGCUUAUCCUUAUGGCAGAAGAUUUGGAUGGCUAUGAAGGUGACGAAGACAGGAUUCAAGGUAUGUCUAUCGCUCUGCUUUUUCAUAUUUAUAUAAUAGACUAAUUUUGAUUUUCGAAUGAGAAAAUUUUCUGAUGCAAAAAUAUGUGUUAUGAACUCCAAGGAUCAUUUUUUUCAAAGCAUCUGAUUCUGGGAUCUCAAUGAUGGCCUCCAAUCUGAUUUUGGGACUUAUUCUCAUUAGCAUAUUGUUUCCUAUAAGCAUGGUCUGACCUUAAUAGGUCACUCAUUUGGGUGUUGUUGGAAGAAGAGUGAAGCAUGUUUUGAUGAAUGCAACCUCUACAUAAUCAAGUCCAUCUCAGAAACUAGCUCUGAUUCUUCAAACAAAGUAGAUUUCUACUCUUCUUUUUUUGCAAACAUAUUUCUACUCUUCUUGAAGGUGAAAAACGUAUAUAAAUGUCUAUUACUAAGCUUUAGUCAAAGAAACUGAAUGUUUUACUUAUUUGUUGCAUCUAAUGUUUGUUUCUGGAUAACAGGUGUACAACGAUGAAGCUGAUACUUUAAUUAUCAGUCUUGAGAAUGUUCAUCUCCACCAGGAGGCAUCAUCACUGUGGUUGCCGCUGGUAGCUGUACUCCGAACAAUUCGAAGAUGGGAGCUUGCAGGUUCAUCUGAGCAGAUUGACACUGCUAUAGUUUGUGACAAAGGUGAAGUAGACUUUAGAGGUGAUAGUAAAUUCGGAGAGCAUAGCUGUGAGUGAGCUUGUCAAGUCAAAGAUCAUGUCAGAGCAAAUUAGUCAGUAUCUUCCAAUAUAUUCUGUUAGAUAUGAGUUGUUGCAGGUCAUAAGAGAGAACCAGGUUAAACAGUAACUUGACGAGGAUGGUUAUACUAUAAACGUAAAGUAGGUUGCAACCAAGGCAUGUAGCAGUAAUGAGUGUUUUUUUUGAACUUUAGCAGUAAUGAGUGUUGCAAAAGCGAGUAAGCUAAGUAUAGAGAUGAGAAUAAAGUUAGCUACACUAUCGUUUCAAAGAUGUAACUGGAGUUGGGUUGCAGCUAGACAUAUUAAGUUCCAUCAUCUUUAAAAAAAUUGUGAUUCUUACUUAUAAUCAUAUUCUUAUGUAUAACCAUUACAAUAAUUUGACACUACUGUUUUACUAUGUUUGCAUGUUAUACUAUGAUUUCCGCUUAAACUCAAGGUGACAAAAUAUUAGAUUUAUGAAAAUAUACUAACAUUAAAGUUACAAAAAUGUUAUUUUGUUUUACAUAUCAAAUUUGUUUUGUUUAUCAUCAAUUCAGUUGAGCAAGUAUUUUGGUUCGUUAAUAAUUUGUUUAGAAAAGUAAUUAUUUCCAAAAAUCUAGACUAUAAUAUUCAUUUAGUUAUAAAAAAUUUAAAUCAAAGUAAAAUUAAAUGCUAAAUGAUAUAAAAAUAGAGAUAUUACAUAUUAAUCAAUGUCAAAAUCAUAGGCGAUUAAUUAAUUGUAUAUUCAAAUUACCUACUAAAUUUGAAUAGAACCAUUUUUGUCAACCAAAAGCACGCAAUUACCUAAUAUCAAUUUUUAAAAACAUUAAUCUAACUGUUUUAACGCAAAUUUAGUCAAGAUGUGUUUUGGGCCAUUAGUUUAUAAUUAGUCAAAGCAUCUAUAAUUGUAGGAAAUUAAAGACUAUUUUAUAUUAAAUAUUUCAGAUUGAUUUAAUUUUUAAAAGAAAUUUAGCUACAAAUUAUAUAUACAUUAUUUCAAUUUCUAAUUUUUAAAAAACAUAAUACACCAAGUUCUUUGAAAAUCAUGUUAUAAUAUAAAUAUAAACAUUUUAAACAAAAUAUGUUAAUAAUUCUCAUAUCAAUAUAAUUCACACAAUUUUAUUUGAAUUAUAAAAUAUAAAAAAGGUAAGUAAUUUCUAAAAUAUUAGUAUAUACUACAUAAGCAAAAACAAAUAUU